UAUUGAUGAUAAUAAAGAACUGUUAGAGUUGCUGCUGUUGCUGCUAGUUUGAUUCGAGUCUGUUGCUGCUACAAACUAAAACAAAAGAGGGGUUUGCUGCACUUAAUUAUCGAAUUUUGGCUAAUCGAGAACUGAUGAGGUAAUCAACACUCAAUUGAUGGUUUCUCGGUAAAUUUUCCAAAAAUGACUCAAGCAUUUUUCUCCAUAUUUCAGCUGGAAACAAAGAGGU